AAUGUUAUGCUUUCAAGAAGGGGACAGAGGGGAGAAAAACUGCAGGCAGUAGAGAUAAAGCCAGGCAGAAUUAUGGAAAGGCGAUAUUUAAUAGUUCACCAAUCGUGUUUUCAAGGUGUGUUACCCCUAGAGCUGAAUUAAAUAUUGAUCUUUUUUUGUUUGUUUGUUUAAAAACAAAAAUUAAAAUAGAAAAAUAGGCAUGAACCCAAGCAUCCCCCACCACCAAAAAAUUUAAAUGUUGGCUGCUGCCCCUCCUGUUUCUCACACCUGAACGAGUGCAUCCCCCCCUUUUUAGGCUGCCUGUGUCUGUUCCUGUUUGGCAUCCCCUGGCAACCCCUUCCCAAUGUCUCUGCCCAGGGCUUGGACACCCCACUGCUUCCUGGGGCUGGGCUGAGAGCCCAGCAAGGGAAAUCAGGAAUUUUUUCCUGAUCCUUUUCAUCAGGGAUGUGUUUUACCAUCCACACAGGAAUUUUUUACUAGCACAACUGCAAAUCUAAUGAGGAACUCAUGCAACUGAGCUAUGAUGGGGAGGUGCAGGAGGCAAAGGACAGGGAGCUUCUUAUACCAACUUCACCUCUAAAAGCUGCAACGGGUCCUUUUGACACUGCAUUAAUACUGCAUUAAUACUAUUAUACUUAAUUAAUUAAUAUUAUAAUAACAAUAACCAUCCCUGAAUGGUCUAGCUCUUUUGAGGAGGUAUCAGCUUUGAUAAUUUUUAAAUUUGUCUGAGGCAGCUUGGAAUUGCCUCCAAAAGGCUCUCUAUAAAGCCAGAUUGUAUUGCAUUUAAUACAUAUGCUUUUAGCCCUUUCUUCCCUGAUUUUCUUGGACUUUGAUUGAUAUUUCUGUAGAGGACUUUAUUUUUAUUUUUUCUCUUUUUAAGUGCCUGUGCUGGCUCACAAGUGACUCAGUACUUGAUCAAUACUGCUGGUGGCUGUUGGUGCAGCCACUGAUGGGAAGCUGGAGGAGAAUUAUUCCGGUGAAAGCCUCCGAGAAAAAUCAGUCAGAGAAGGCUGCCCCGUGCCAUGGAUGCUGUCCUCCACACCCUGUGCACCAUCCAUCUUCCCAACUAUGUGCUGUCACUUCUUCCAGGAAGGGGCAGAUUAAAAAAAAAUUGGUCAUGACAGGGGCUCUUUGUUAAAUGGAAACUGUUUUAGUGGAAAAACAGCAGCCUGUGUCCCUCACCGAGCACUUAGAGGUAAUGUUUGUACAUUUAAAUGGGGAGGAAAAGGUGUGGGGCCAAAUUUUGGGGAGCCCCUGGUUAAAGCCUUGGCAGCACACUGAAAACGUGUCACCCCUGGGUUAAAGGCAGCCCUGAGAAACCUGACAGCCCAGGUGAAACCAGCCAGAAGUGACUUCUCCCGUCCUCCUCAGGAGGGAAGAUAAAUGUCAUCAGUCAUCAGCCGUCACAGCUUAUACAAGGCACAUUUUUCUCUGCCUGCUGCUGAGCUGGAACCGCUCUGGAGGGAGAAGGGAAAGCACGGGGAGGGCGAAGGGGAGCUGUGAAUCCUAAACUUCUCCCGUCCCUUGGGUGGCUCUGUCAAUGCUGGUAGAAAAAUGUGAGUAAAGCUGGGGGGAAACAAAGCGUUUCCCCCAGGCAGCCAAAGCAGGGAGGUAAAUGAGUGCAAAAAAAAACCCCAAAAACCCUCCCAGAAGUUAUCCCAGUUGCUUCUCACCCAGC
rnacentral:lncRNA from 1 species